GACGAACGCUGGCGGCGUGCUUAACACAUGCAAGUCGAACGGAAAGGCCCUGCUUGUGUGGGGUGCUCGAGUGGCGAACGGGUGAGUAACACGUGAGUAACCUGCCCUUGACUUUGGGAUAAAUUCAGGAAACUGGGGCUAAUACCGGAUAGGUGCUCCUGAUGCAUGGUGGGGGGUGGAAAGACUCGGCGGUGGGGGAUGGACUCGCGGCGUAUUAGCUUGUUGGUGGGGUAGUGGCUUACCAAGGCUUUGACGGGUAGCCGGCCUGAGUGGGUGACCGGCCACAUUGGUACUGAGAUACGGCCCAGACUCCUACGGGAGGCAGCAGUGGGGAAUAUUGCGCAAUGGGCGGAAGCCUGAUGCAGCAACGCCGCGUGCGGGAUGACGGCCUUCGUGUUGUAAACCGCUUUCGCCGGUGACGAAGCGUGGGUGACGGUAAUGGGUAAAGAAGCACCGGCUAACUACGUG
rnacentral:rRNA from 1 species